AGUGAACGCUGGCGGUAGGCCUAACACAUGCCAGUCGAACGGCAGCACAGUAAGAGCUUGCUCUUACGGGUGGCGAGUGGCGGACGGGUGAGGAAUACAUCGGAAUCUACUUUUUCGUGGGGGAUAACGUAGGGAAACUUACGCUAAUACCGCAUACGACCUACGGGUGAAAGCAGGGGAUCUUCGGACCUUGCGCGAUUGAAUGAGCCGAUGUCGGAUUAACUAGUUGGCGGGGUAAAGGCCCACCAAGGCGACGAUCCGUAGCUGGUCUGAGAGGAUGAUCAGCCACACGGGAACUGAGACACGGUCCAGACUCCUACGGGAGGCAGCAGUAGGGAAUAUUCGACAAUGGGCGAAAGCCUGAUCGAGCCAUGCCGCGUGAGUGAAGAAGGCCUUCGGAUCGUAAAGCUCUUUUGUUGGGAAAGAAAAAAUGAGGAAGUAUCUAUGGAGGUCCUGACGGUACCUAAACAGAAAGCCACGGCUAACUACGUG
rnacentral:rRNA from 1 species